ACAAACUAGUCUAUCAAAAAUCAGUCUGUUAAAAACUGUAACAUAAAUGAAUAAUCUUUGUGGUGACCUGCAGAACCUUGCUUUGGAAUCAAAGAAAAUAAUGCCAUAAUUGAAUAGCCAAUUCUCUUCCCUGUUUAAUGCACUGAGUAACAAUAGGCAUUAACAGCCUUAUCAAAUAACUACUUCAAAACCAGAGUCCAAUCUCUUACAAGUUAUGUGAUCUGAGGUGGAAGAUCUCAGAUCCACUAAAAUGUCAACAUUGA
rnacentral:lncRNA from 1 species